AGUCUGACGGAGCACGCCGCGUGAGUGAAGAAGGUUUCGGAUCGUAAACUCUGUUGUUAGGGAAGAACAAUGCCGUUCGAAUAGGGCGGCGCCUUGACGGUACCUAACCAGAAAGCCACGGCUAACUACGUGCCAGCAGCCGCGGUAAUACGUAGGUGGCAAGCGUUGUCCGGAAUUAUUGGGCGUAAAGCGCGCGCAGGUGGUUUCUUAAGUCUGAUGUGAAAGCCCACGGCUCAACCGUGGAGGGUCAUUGGAAACUGGGGAACUUGAGUGCAGAAGAGGAAAGUGGAAUUCCAAGUGUAGCGGUGAAAUGCGUAGAUAUUUGGAGGAACACCAGUGGCGAAGGCGACUUUCUGGUCUGUAACUGACACUGAGGCGCGAAAGCGUGGGGAGCAAACAGGAUUAGAUACCCUGGUAGUCCACGCCGUAAACGAUGAGUGCUAAGUGUUAGAGGGUUUCCGCCCUUUAGUGCUGCAGCUAACGCAUUAAGCACUCCGCCUGGGGAGUACGGUCGCAAGACUGAAACUCA
rnacentral:rRNA from 1 species